rnacentral:rRNA from 1 species
CGCCUGGGGAGUACGGCCGCAAGGUUAAAACUCAAAUGAAUUGACGGGGGCCCGCACAAGCGGUGGAGCAUGUGGUUUAAUUCGACGCAACGCGAAGAACCUUACCUGGCCUUGACAUGCAGAGAACUUUCCAGAGAUGGAUUGGUGCCUUCGGGAACUCUGACACAGGUGCUGCAUGGCCGUCGUCAGCUCGUGUCGUGAGAUGUUGGGUUAAGUCCCGUAACGAGCGCAACCCCUAUCCCUAGUUGCUAGCAGUUCGGCUGAGAACUCUAGGGAGACUGCCGGUGACAAACCGGAGGAAGGUGGGGAUGACGUCAGGUCAUCAUGGCCCUUACGGCCAGGGCUACACACGUGCUACAAUGGUGCGCACAGAGGGCUGCAAACCCGCGAGGGGGAGCCAAUCUCACAAAACGCAUCGUAGUCCGGAUCGCAGUCUGCAACUCGACUGCGUGAAGUCGGAAUCGCUAGUAAUCGUGAAUCAGAAUGUCACGGUGAAUACGUUCCCGGGCCUUGUACACACCGCCCGUCACACCAUGGGAGUGGAUUGCACCAGAAGUGGUUAGUCUAACCUUCGGGAGGACGAUCACCACGGUGUGGUUCAUGACUGGGGUGAAGUCGUAACAAGGGUAACCGUA